rnacentral:rRNA from 1 species
GAUGAACGCUGGCGGCGUGCCUAAUACAUGCAAGUCGAGCGAACGGACGAGAAGCUUGCUUCUCUGAUGUUAGCGGCGGACGGGUGAGUAACACGUGGAUAACCUACCUAUAAGACUGGGAUAACUUCGGGAAACCGGAGCUAAUACCGGAUAAUAUUUUGAACCGCAUGGUUCAACAGUGAAAGACGGUCUUGCUGUCACUUAUAGAUGGAUCCGCGCUGCAUUAGCUAGUUGGUAAGGUAACGGCUUACCAAGGCAACGAUGCAUAGCCGACCUGAGAGGGUGAUCGGCCACACUGGAACUGAGACACGGUCCAGACUCCUACGGGAGGCAGCAGUAGGGAAUCUUCCGCAAUGGGCGAAAGCCUGACGGAGCAACGCCGCGUGAGUGAUGAAGGUCUUCGGAUCGUAAAACUCUGUUAUUAGGGAAGAACAUAUGUGUAAGUAACUGUGCACAUCUUGACGGUACCUAAUCAGAAAGCCACGGCUAACUACGUG